UACGAAGGGGGCUAGCGUUGUUCGGAAUUACUGGGCGUAAAGCGUACGUAGGCGGACUUGUAAGUAGGGGGUGAAAUCCCCAGGCUCAACCUGGGAACUGCCUUCUAGACUGCAAGUCUUGAGAUCAGGAGAGGCGAGUGGAAUUCCGAGUGUAGAGGUGAAAUUCGUAGAUAUUCGGAGGAACACCAGUGGCGAAGGCGACUCGCUGGACUGAUACUGACGCUGAGGUACGAAAGCGUGGGGAGCAAACAGG
rnacentral:rRNA from 1 species